CUGAGCACUGGGAGUUCGUCGAAAGCUGGCUGCAGGUCUUGAUAGGACACACGAUUCUUAUGUCUACAAGCAAUAUGUUAUACACCCCGUUCGUAAUUAAAACUGACGUGGCAUGGAGAUUCUUAAGGCAUAAAAAAGAAGCGGUUGCGUAGGCGCCAAAGAGGAUUAAAUUGUGCGACGACGCAAACAACUAAUGUCUUCUCGUUUAUUUAGUUUCCUACGUAGUUACGUACUUACUUACGUAUCUACGUAAUACCCACGUAUGUAUCUAUUUACUUAGCUAUAAUUUUUCCAUCAUAUUUGUAUUCUAUAUUUUAUCUUAACACAUCGCCGAACUUAAUCCUCGCGAGAGCGAUAAUCGUUUAAGAGGAUCAACCGUCUCCUUUCUCUCCAUCCUGUUUCGUUCCUCUUCGUUUUCAUCUCUUUAUCCUAUUCCCCUUUAUCCCCCCCUACCGUGAACUCUCUUUCUCUCUCUCUCUCUCUCUCUCUCUCUGUCUUCCCUCUUCGUUCUGAUUGGUUUCACGAUCUUUAAAGGAGCAGCCCAUCGUUCGAGAAAUCAUUUUGGUCCUGACAGUCCUCGUGUCAAGGUGGAAAUGAGAGAUCGAUGGUAUAUUAGGACUCUUCUCGAUGAUAUUCUUCUUACCGUCGUCGCGCUCACCAUCGCAAUUCGUAAUGGGAUGAUGCGCGUUCAGCGCUGGACCACCACCAUAGACGGCCGCUCGCCGAACGUCUCGUUCUGAUGUCACAGGUCAAGAUGGCACAGGUUUCGGGACACGUAACACACGACACACAUAGAGAGAGAGCGAGAGCAUGCAGAGAAAAAAUAUAGAGACUCACGGAUUAACGAAGGGUGCCAUGUAGGACCAAAGAAGGACCGAGAUAUGUUAGCGUCGGAUUAAGAGGGAGGAUAUUUACUUUUUCUUUCUUUUCUUUUUCUUUUUUUUUUUUUCUCGUUUUUCCCCACCCCACCCUUCGAAUAGUAAUCCAUCGAAACAAGUUAUUACGAAGUCUGGGAAGAUUUUAGAAAAAUGA